rnacentral:tRNA from 1 species
CCCCGCGCUGGACCAGGUCGGCGUGCUGGAGUCGCGCGCGAUCGCGGCCGAGGCGACGUUCGACGCGUUCGCCCGGG